GACGAACGCUGGCGGCGUGCUUAACACAUGCAAGUCGAACGGUAAGGCCCUUCGGGGUACACGAGUAGCGAACGGGUGAGUAACACGUGGGUGAUCUGCCCUGCACUUCGGGAUAAGCCUGGGAAACUGGGUCUAAUACCGGAUAGGACUCCGGACUGCAUGGUCUGGGGUGGAAAGCUUUUGCGGUGUGGGAUGGGCCCGCGGCCUGUCAGCUUGUUGGUGGGGUGAUGGCCUACCAAGGCGACGACGGGUAGCCGGCCUGAGAGGGUGACCGGCCACACUGGGACUGAGAUACGGCCCAGACUCCUACGGGAGGCAGCAGUGGGGAAUAUUGCACAAUGGGCGCAAGCCUGAUGCAGCGACGCCGCGUGAGGGAUGACGGCCUUCGGGUUGUAAACCUCUUUCAGCAUCGACGAAGCGAAAGUGACGGUAGGUGCAGAAGAAGGUCCGGCCAACUACGUGCCAGCAGCCGCAGUAA
rnacentral:rRNA from 1 species